rnacentral:tRNA from 1 species
AGCCGGUAGAGUAUCUGCCUUUUAAGCAGAGAGCCGCGCGUUCGAAUCGCGCACGGCCCA